CACCACGCCCGGCUAAUUUUUGUAUUUUUAAUACAGACCGGGUUUUGCCAUGUGGGCCACACUGGUCUCAAACUCCUGACCUCAGGUGAUCCACCCGCCUCGGCCUCCUGUAGUGCUGGGAUUACAGGCCUGAGCCACCACAUCCGGCAUUAAUCACAUACACUUCUUCUUGACUUCCUGCCCUCACUCCUGAGCCCUGGUAGUGUAGGGAGCCAUGCUUUCUUGAAGCUAGGCCUGCAGGUAUCUGGGCUAGCAUGCUGCUGUCAAAAGAACCGCAUGGAACUUUCCAUUGCUGGCCUUGGAACAUCCUUGUAAGCAGGCUUCCAAAUGUAAGCAUUGAGAUUAGAAGGGCACAGCAUUAAAAAGAACAACCUUUGGUUCAAAGUUUCUGUUUGUAUUUUCUAGAACUCUUAAAAGUCAAUAUAUGUAGGUGGACAAAAUAUUUGGUGAAAUUACAGUUCUGAAAAUAGCCUUAUGUUUGCCAGGACUUGAGGAAGGCCCCCAAGUGAUGUCUAGUCCACCUCCUGCAAAGGCAAGAAGGCGGAGGUUGGGAAAGUCCACACUGACAUCUAGUGAUACAAAACUGCACUGCCAAAGGCUCCAACUGAAGCUAUUUGCAGCAGUGGGCUCCUCAAUUCUGAUGCAUCUACUGCCCCCCAAGAGGGCUUGAAGACUCAGUGCACACCAGCCAAUUUCAGCUGCCCUGGUGGGGGCCAAAGCAGUUCAGGCUUCUUUAUGUUUCACUUACAAACUUAGUUUGGCCAUCUAAGAGUUUUGCCUCUUAAUUUUUGAAAUGAUCAUUUCAGCACAUUUUAAAGCUAUAGAAUUUACUGCUAAAAGCUUCUUUGUGCUUGCAGUGGCCAGACCCUUUAAUGCCAAGUGAAUUUUUUUAUUUUCUAUAUGUUCUCAGAACAAAUGCUUGGGCUGAAAUGUCCUGAGCAAGGAAUGAUCUGCAGCAGGGGAUGGAACCAGUACAGCAGGUACUUGUCCUUUUUAGGCCCUGAGAACACUGUCUGCAUUUCAUUUUCAGCAACUCAGAAGUCUAAGGUACAGAAGAAAUGACAGAGAAUGCUUCUUCUGUCUUUCCAUUUUUCUUCUAUACACCAAUGAAAAUAAGUCAGCAGAGAUACGAUUUCUAGUUCCUUCCUUAAUGGCGGCACAGUUAGAAGCAAGACUGCAUUUUUAAGGUUGUUGCAGUAACCCAGGUGAAAAAGAAUGAGGAGGCUGCACAACAAUAUGAAUGUACUUAAUGCCACUAAACCACUUAAAAUUGGUUAAAAUGGUAAAUUUUGUGUUACGUCUAUUUUACCUCAAUUAAAAAAAUAAUGAAGGCUGGACAGCAUCAGUAACAGUAGGAAUGGAAGAAGCUUUUGCAGGACUGAUCAAAUGAUUGGAUGCAGAUACGUUUUCACAUCGUUCUCAUAGGCAAAAUGUACACAUGAACAAAUACUAAACUGUUUAGAAUACUAAUGCCAAAAAACUUCUACAACCUCCACAUCGAAACAAACAGACCUGAACAUUAGGAAAUAAUCAGAUUUUACAAGGAAUGUGUUUUUUAUACACUUUGGACAUUUUCUUUCAUAAUAUGUAAAUAUCAAAACCUUCAAGCAAAUCAUACAGACAAGAAAAUAACAUGUGCUGCAUUAAAAACAUACAGACUUAGCAAAGAAAGGACAAAAACAAAAAACCUCCUAAGGCAGUUUUGACUCUCAGAAAUAUACGAGAGAGCUAAAAACACUGACAGAAUUCAGUUGCUUCUGUGAAGCAAGCGAAAAAGGGGAAAAUAAAUAACUUUUAGGAAGGCACUCCAGACCUGACCUGUACAAACAGCAAAUUCAAAGGUUUUGAAAAUGAUGAGUUUUUACUUUUUAGAGUUUGUAAUCAAUUGAAAUAGUGAUUCAUUGACAUUCUGGGGAGGCAUUAGAAAUGACCUAGAAUUUCUCUGGUAAAACAUAGCAUUUCAGUACGUUUAGAGGUACACGUAGCUGGUUUCUCCAGUACAGUUUUUAACAGGUGGCAUACUAAUAAUAAAUCUUGCUCUGUUUCUUAACACCACUUCCCCCAACUGCUAAUGAUGGGGUGAAAAAGUGAAAAAUACUGUCUAGACCAAUAUUAAUAAGGAGAAUGACGGCUACAAUUAGGAUUUCAUUUUAAUACAGCAGGAUUUUUAUACUGAAUUAAAUGUUCAUAUAUGUUUAUUUGAUAAUAACUCAUGAAUUUCAGUGGCAAAAAAAAGUUUCUUCUGGAGCUCACAAACAGGAUGAACAAUUAAAAAUAAAUAAAUAAGUCCCACCAUGCAGAAAAUUUACUUAGCUUGACACAUAUGAACUUGAGAGGAACGAGAGUUUUGGAAAGUGAGGCCAGCUUCUCUAGGACUUUGGCAAACUCAGUCAUCAUGCAGAGGAAAGAAGGAAGCAAGUGCCUGUUACCUUCAGUGCUCAAUACUAGAAUGAUAGCCAUCUAUGGCCAAAUUUGAAAUGGUGAUGCCUUGAGAAACUAAAUAAUAAGAACUGUCUUUUUUUUAGAUUUAAUGUAAUCUAGCUAAUGGCUUGUGUAUAAUUUUCCAGACAACUUAAUGGAUAUUUUUAUGAUUUAAAAUAAUUGUCUUCCAUGUCAGUCAAGACAUAAAGAAUACAAAUUUCCGCAUUGGAAGAAUGAAUAGCCUCAGGAAGAAGUUUAUAUCUGUUGGAGCAGUAAUUCCAGGCACUGGUCUACAGACCAGCACCAGUCUGUAAUAAGGUGCUCACAGUGAAAUAAGAAAAAUUAGGACAGUGCAGUAGCUUUGUUAUCCAUAAAAAGUUAAAUGUAUUUCAUGCACAAGACUAUCUUUAGUCUAAGAUUAGAUCCUUCCUACCCUAUGAUAGUUGUAGAUGGCCAUAGAUUUGGGGAGUAUUUGGUUUUUUGUUUCUUCCUUUUUAAAUGUAGAUUUCGUUUUUUGGGACAAAGAAAUAUUGGCACCCUGAUGUUGAUUCCUAAACUGUUUUUGAAUUUUUACUGACCUGUGAAAUCUAAAAUGUUGGAAACUGUUGCUCAAGAGAUCAGCAGUUCUCACCUUUGUUUUCCCUGCCUGCCCCAACAUACUGGAGAGAUAGGAUAUACCCCCAUCAGCUCGAGCCUCAGUAAGACUUGUUAUCAGCAGAAACUUAGGCUCUUGAAGAGGGAGGGUGCAUAUCAGAAUGGCUGGAAGUCAUAUAUGUACUAGACAAAGGCCCCAGGUGGUUCUAAGAGGGCCCAAACCCCAGCUAAACUGACAAUUCUCACUCAGUAAUACUGAUAUAUCCAGUGGGCCUAGAAAUGACCCAGAUACCUCAUUUAUUAAUUUAUCAUCUUGCCCUCUCUACAGGACUGUUAUCUUUACUUCCCAGAAAAAUGAGUAGGAUUUCUCCGGAAGGCAAGUCCCUCUGAAGUAUCCACCAACCAAUGCCAUACAGGUUUUUUUCGUCUCUAACACCAGUCCUUCACACUGUAAUUCAGACACACUUUUCUUUACUCUUUCAGGCCAUGCCAUGUAGCUAUUCUUGGUCAUCGUUUCCUCAAGGAAACAUUGAAGGGAUAAGGUCCAGGUCUUUCAAACUGCCCACUGUGACCCGUUAGUGUAGUGGAAAAUGAAUCCAGCUAAACAUGACCAGUAUUUUUUUUUUCUAAAAGAGCAUAGUAUUGAAAGACUAGAAAAUAUCAAAGUAGGCUGGAUGCAAUGGCUCAUGCUUAUAAUUCCAGUGCUUUGGGAGGCUGAGGUGGGAGGAUGGCUCAAGGCCAAAAGUUGGAGACCAACCUGGCCAACAUAGUAAGGCGUCAUCUAUACAAAAUAAAUAAAUAAAAAUAUCAAAGUGCAUGGAAUUUAGUGAAGCUAAACAUUGUUUUAUGAAACUUUAUAUAUAUUCUGAGCUGAGACAUAGAAUAUUUCUCCUAAUAUAGGUUAUAGUUUUUAAAAAAGUUGGCUGUGUACGGUGGCUCACACCUGUAAUCCCAGCACUUUGGGAGGCCGAGGCAGGCAGAUCACCUGAGGUCAGGAGUUCAAGACCAGCCUGGCCCACCUGGUGAAACCCCGCCUCUACUAACAAUACAAAAAUUAGCCAGGCAUGGUGGUACACACCUGUAAUCUCAGCUACUCGGGAGGCUGAGACAGGAGAGUUUCUUGAACCCAGGAGACGGGUUGCAGUGAGCUGAGAUGGUGCCACUGCACUCCAGCCUGGGCGACAGAAUGAGACUCCGUCUCAAAAAAAAAAGAAAAAAAAAGUUUGAAAACCAUUAGAUUCAUUCAACAAUCUCUAUAAUCUAUUACACCUUAAAAUUCUAUGAAUUUCACUUUGGUAAUGAGCAUAGAACUCUCCCUUCUCCCACCCUGCUCAACAUAGCCCUCAACAAAUCCAAGAACUCCUCUUUAUCCUUGAGCCUGAGGUCCCAUCUGGUAUCUCCAGGCAAUCUGACUUGGCCUCAGGCCUUCCUCUGGGCUCCCCUGGCCUUUGGGAUGGUGCUUAACAUACUACUUAUAAUACUAUAUUGUAAUCGUCCAUCUCCCCAGCAAAUUGUGCCAGAGUGCACUUGAAUGAGUGAAGGAAGGAGGCAAGCAACAGUGUAUUUGCUUAAGGGAGUGGUUCACAACCUGGCUUCACAUCAGAAUCCCCUGGGAAGCUUUUAAAAAGCCCAAUACCCAAACCGUACCUGGACAAUUAAAGCAGAAGCACUGUCAGUGGUGUCCAGGCAUCAGAUUCUUUUUUUUGGCAGGGGGUGUGGGGAAGGAGUCUCGCUCUGUACCCCAGGCUGGGGUACAGUGGUACAAUCUCAACUCGCUGCAACCUCUGCCUCCCACGUUCAAGCGAUUCUCCUGCCUCAGCCUCCCGAGUAGCUGGGACUUCAGGUGUAUGCCACCACGCCCAGCUAAUUUUUGUAUUUUUAGUAGAGAUAAGGUUUUGCCAUGUUGCCCAGACCAGUCUCAAACUGCUGGUCUCAAAUGAUUCCCUGGCCUGGCCUCCCAAAGUGCUGGGAUUACAGUCAUGAGCUACCAUGCCCAACCAGCAUCAGAUUCUUUAAAGCUCCGCAAGGGGAGUCCAAUAUGCAGAUGAGAUUGAAAGUGACUGAUGUAGACCAGGUCCUGGGGAUCUUGUGAAAAUGCAGAUACUGCCUCCCUAGACCUGGAGUAGGGGCACAAGAUUCUUUCUAAUGUGCUUCCAGGUGAUGUUGAUGCUGAUGGUCUGCUGACCACAUCUUGAGAAAGGAGGGAAGAGCCAUCUGAUGGAUUCUCUGGCUACAUAAAAAGAGCUGAGAUAGCAAAGUCAGACAGACCUGGAGGAGAGCAAGGGUAGUGACCAGGCAUAUGAUUACUGGAGUAAAUUGCCUGGCACCCUUUCUUCCUAGUGAUGUGACCUUGGGCUAGUUAUUUAAAGUUGCCUUCAUCUGAUGAUGGAGAUAUAACAUAAUAUAAUACAUAGGGUGGGUGUGAGAACUGAGCAGAACACCACGGACACCGUGGUACGCAUGUGUGAGUUAUUAGCAUUAUUAUUACGUAUCCCAAUUCCACCACUUACUAGCUUUGUGCUGUUGGUAAGUGUAUUAGUCCAUUCUCACACUGCUGUAAAGAACUACCUGAGACUGAGUAAUUUAUAAAAAGGACGGUUAAUUGACUCACAGCUCUGCAAGCUAUACAGGAGGCAUGUCUGGGAAGGCCUCAGGAAACCUACAAUCAUGGCAGAAGGCGAAGUGGAAGCCAGCAAGUCUUAUGUGGUAGGAGCAGGAGGAAGAGAGAGCAAAGGGGGAAGUGCUACGCACUUUCAAACAACCAGAUCUUGUGAGAACUCACUCGCUAUUGUGAGAAAAGCAAGGAGGAAAUCCACCCCCAUGAUCCAAUCACCUCUCACCAGGUCUCUCCCCCAACAUUGGGGAUCACAAUUCAACAUGAGAUUUGGGUGGGAACACAGAGCCAAACUAUAUCAGCAAGUUGCUUAACCUCUCUGAGCUCCAGUUUCCUGCACUGUAAAAUGGGGAAUCAUAAUAUCCAUCAAUCUCCUUAUAAGAUUGGAAAGAUAAAGAAACUAUAUGUAAAAUUCUUAGCACAAUGUUCGAUCCAUGUGCAUGCUCAAUAAGUGGUUAUUCCUCAAAUUAGUUUCAUUUGUAUUGGGAUAAAUCAUUGUUCCCUCCCAUAGGUACAUUUUCUAUUUAACCAGUUGCCAGUUCUCAGAAUCUUCUCCUGCCCCCCACACCACACAGGCUGCAGAUUGUAGGGAUAGAUGACAGAGGAUGGGAGGCUCAUCUCACUCUCUAUUUCAAUACGUUCUACUUCAACAGCAGGGCUUGUUUUUAUUACCUUAUUGAGUUCACAUGGGUAGCUUUUGGCAGCAGCAAUUAUUCUCCUUAUUACUCUACAGAUGAAGAAAUAGAUUUGGCUCUGAUAUGUUGGAUUUUCUCAAGCAAGUCCCAUAUCGAAAAUAAAAGCGUUUAAUUCUAAUCAGAGACAGCCGGGAAAAAAAGAAAAAAAAAAAAAACCUCCUGGCUUCCUGCCUCUUGAAAGCCUCUCCUUCAAAAUGUUUUGAGGACCUGCAAUGUGCCAGGAAUAUUACAGCAAAUGAGUCUUCUUUGGUGGUCCAGCCACACCAGCCCUUAUACUUCACAGCGUGAGUGAUAUAAACAUGAAGGCCAGGUGCGGCGGCUUACACCCGUAAUCCCAGCACUUUGGGAAGAGUGAAGUGGAGGAAGAGGUACAUUCAACUACAGAGGAGGAAACUGAGGCCCAGAGGGGAAAAGUGACUUGAUUGACAAAAAUUGGAUUCUGGUCUUUGUUCUGCCAAAGCCACUAAAUCUGUGUUGCUGAGUCUGCUGUUUGCAUGCAGGAAUGUGAAGGACUGCUCAAGUUGGAGAUACAAAUUGAAGCCAGCCCCAGUUCAAAACUGUUACAAAUGGAGUCUGUAGGCAUGAGGGGCUGACUAUAUAACUCAGAGUUCUCCAGUACUUUACUUUAAUAAAGAACACAAUCUUUAUUAAAGGAUAAGUAAUAAAAAUGUGUUGAUGUGCAACUUAUGGAUCUAUUAUUAAAACUCAACAGUCAUUGCAGCAAUGUUUAGAACUUAAGCAAACAAAAGUUUUGUGAGGGGGCAAUUUUAUCAAUGACAUUGUUUAGAAAUGUUGGUAGAUGGUGAUCAUAAAAAGCAGAUCAAUGUUUU
rnacentral:lncRNA from 1 species